AACGAACGCUGGCGGCAUGCCUAACACAUGCAGGUCGAACGAGAUCUUCGGGUCUAGUGGCGCACGGGUGCGUAACGCGUGGGAAUCUGCCCUUCGGUUCGGAAUAACAGUUGGAAACGACUGCUAAUACCGGAUGAUGACGAAAGUCCAAAGAUUUAUCGCCAGAGGAUGAGCCCGCGUAGGAUUAGCUAGUUGGUGCGGGAAAGGCGCACCAAGGCGACGAUCCUUAGCUGGUCUGAGAGGAUGAUCAGCCACACUGGGACUGAGACACGGCCCAGACUCCUACGGGAGGCAGCAGUGGGGAAUAUUGGACAAUGGGCGAAAGCCUGAUCCAGCAAUGCCGCGUGAGUGAUGAAGGCCUUAGGGUUGUAAAGCUCUUUUACCCGGGAUGAUAAUGACAGUACCGGGAGAAUAAGCUCCGGCUAACUCCGUGCCAGCAGCCGCAGUAA
rnacentral:rRNA from 1 species